rnacentral:rRNA from 1 species
GAUGAACGCUAGCGGGAGGCUUAACACAUGCAAGUCGAGGGGUAUAGUAGCAAUACUAGAGACCGGCGGACGGGUGCGUAACGCGUAUGCAACUUGCCUUAUACAGGGGGAUAGCCCGUGGAAACGCGGAUUAAUACCCAAUAUGUCAUUUGGGUCGCAUGGUCUGGAUGAUAAAGCUGAGGUGGUAUAAGAUGGGCAUGCGUCUGAUUAGUUUGUUGGUAGGGUAAUGGCCUACCAAGGCGACGAUCAGUAGGGGUUCUGAGAGGAUAAUCCCCGACACUGGUACUGAGACACGGACCAGAGUGCUACGGGGAGUAACGGUGAGGAAUAUUGGUCGAUGGGCGAGAGCCUGAACCAGCCAUUCCGCGUGAAGGAAGAAGGCCUUAUGAGUUGUAAACUUCUUUUCUGUAAGGAGAAAAGUCCCGACGUGUCGGGAUGUGACGGUAUUAUAGGAAUAAGCAUCGGCUAACUCCAUGCCAGCCGCCGCGGUAAUAC